UGUUUUUUGUUUUUAAAUUUGUUCUUAUCCUUCUUUUGGUUGUGGUAGGAGGCAGAGUGUGUCUACCUAUGUGCCUCCAUCUUGGCCACAAGUCUAGAUUGAAUUAUUAAAGUUCAUACUGAGUAUCUUUUGUUAUAUUAUGAUUGUUUGCAAAUUGGUUGUGUACUAUUGUAAAACCAGAGUGCUUAACUAGAAAACCUACCAUUAACCCAGACUUUGCCAAGUAGUAUUUCAGUACUAUUGUCAAAUA